UAGGGAAUAUUGCUCAAUGGGCGAAAGCCUGAAGCAGCAACGCCGCGUGUGCGAAGAAGGCCUUCGGGUCGUAAAGCACUUUUCUGAGAGAUGAGAAAGGACAGUAUCUCAGGAAUAAGUCUCGGCUAACUACGUGCCAGCAGCCGCGGUAAAACGUAGGAGGCAAGCGUUAUCCGGAUUCACUGGGCGUAAAGCGCGUGCAGGCGGUUCGGUAAGUUGGGCGUGAAAUCUCCUGGCUUAACUAGGAGAGGUCGUCCAAUACUACCGGGCUAGAGAGUGGUAGAGGAAGAUGGAAUUCCCGGUGUAGUGGUGAAAUGCGUAGAUAUCGGGAGGAACACCAGUGGCGAAAGCGAUCUUCUGGACCAUUUCUGACGCUCAGACGCGAAAGCUAGGGUAGUAAACGGGAUUAGAGACCCCGGUAAUCCUAGCCGUAAACGAUGUAGACUUGGCGUCGGUGGCUUAAACACCAUCGGUGCCGCAGCAAACGCGAUAAGUCUACCGCCG
rnacentral:rRNA from 1 species